CUGGGUCUUUUCUCCAGGUGCUCAAUCAGUGGUUCCAGCUGUGACUCAGCAGUUCCCAUACACUUAGGAAAUGUGGAUGAGCCACACGUUUUCAGAGCAGAAGAGCUACACCUGCAAGGGCACCACUGGAAGCAGCACUGCCUGUGAAAGGGUUUCCUGCAGGAUAUCUCUUCCUUCUCCCUCCCUGCUUUCCCCAUUGACAAAGGCCUGGAAGAGUGGAGGAGCUUUGUGCGUGGAUCAAUGACAGCACAUGACCCCUGUUGAGGAGCAGUUCUUGAGUGCAGAAGAAGAAAAGCUGUGCUUGCCUGGUGUCAUCUGGCUGAGAUAUUCUACUUGCUAUGGCUUGGUUUGAAUAAUAAUUUAUGAAGCACGGAAAUUUCUGUUUUGAGCAAUUAUGAUGGCCAGCUGGUGGUUACUCUCUGUUCUAUGUUAUUCUUCUUUAUUUGUUCACUUGUUUGUGUAUGCGCAUGUUUGUAUUGUGGAUCCAUUGCAUGCUUAUUUUUUCAUGACAGAUAUUUAUGCUUUUUGUAGUUGCCCAGUGCAACUGUUUUUUUCAGGUCUGCGCUUAAAUAUCAGAUGAGAGGCAGAAAGGAAGUAAUAAUUCAGAAUGAAUAAUUCAAAAACACGUAUCACAUGCAUGCAUUGUAAUGGGAAAUCCUGCUGUGUUGUGUCAAUGCUCUUGUGUCCAGUACAAUCUUAGAGUACUUCUAAACAAAGAAUGGGAAGCUGACAACACACAAAAAUAACCUUCACUUCCUCAUCUCUCCUAGCACCAUGGACUUUCUGUGCCCACAGAACAGUAGGGACACGGAAUUAGCCGAUGGUGCUAAGACCAGAAUUUGCCCAAAGAUUUCCAUGCUUUGGUUUGCUUAUGCAGUCACCACAGAGUACUAUUGGCAUCAGCAGCUAUUUUGCAGCAGCUGCAUAAUCAGGCAUAUAUUGAAGAGAUAGGGAGGAGGAAGGACACGUUUGUCCCCAGUGUUCCCAAACAUAGACAAUUGGACAACUGGAAAAACCAUUGUGUGGUUUUGAUGUGCAGCUGUUGGUGCCUUUUCUCUGUAAGACUGACGAGAAUGCAGUGCUAGAAAAACUGAUGAUGGUAUGUGUCUUCUGGGAGGCCAGCCUCACACAUUCCCCAGCUGUUCUGCUUACGGUCCUCUGUUUGGCCUCCUGUGCAGAUGCAGAUGAUACAGCCAAGCCAGGGACUCUUUCUUAUAUUCCACACAUCUUGCCUUGUUCUAAAAUCAUAUGUAAGGGGUAUCUUGGUGCACGUCAAGACAUUUCCUUGCAGAAAUGUACACUUAAGUGAGAUGAACAUCCCUGCCAAACUCCAGCUGGUUCAAUGCUAGUGACAUGUAGAAGCUCAUCUUCCAAUAUACUGACCAAAAAAACGAGUGAGAAGCACCCAAGUGAUUUGGUCCAUUGUUCCUCUGGAAAUGCCUCUCUCAGUGUGUCAGAGAGGAUGUCUAAAUAACUGGCUUGGGGUAGAUGCUCGACUUUCAGAUGGCGAAAUUGACUGAGGUUAAUCCUGCUCUUUAUCACCACUCUAGAUUUGAAUAAAGUGACCAACCAGGUAUUAGACAUUUUCUGUCUUUGCUACAAUCCUCUGUUAUCUGAAAUCUCCUCACAAAGAAUUUAGACUGGGAUCAAAUUAACUUUCAAUGCUCUUUUAGCCUUCAGCUUCUUAAAGUUCUUACAGUUUAACAGACUUUCAAAAAGUCAGAUCAUCUCGCAGCUCUUUUCUGAAUGCUCUUCCACCUGCUAUUAGCAUGUCUUCUGCUACAGGUGGUGAAGGUGAUGUUUCCCUCCAGCACUCUCACCGCUGCUAGUGAGAUAACAGCUCCCUACCUCUAAUUGGCAUUUCUGUCUUUAUAUACUUAAUAAUUUAUUUAGCUGACUUAGUUAUCAUGCGGUGCAGGAAGCUCAUGGUGGCUAAUUACCUAUUGUAUUCCUGGAUAUUUUAAAUGGAAUCAGCAAUGCCUGCAGCAGAACAGUUAAGAAUAGGUUGUGCUUUUCCCCUGACUCUUGUAUACCCACCUUCUGCUACAUAAUGCAAAAUGUGCAUGUUGGUGCAGUGAGGCAGGAUCCUCCUCUUUGUCAGCCUCCAGGAACCUUGCCCUAGCACGAGAUUUAUAUGUGCAAAUCCACUCAAUGUGCUGCCAUGUGGUUUCCAUGAAACCCAACUGGAAAAAUCAGUGUUCGCCUACGUUGUGUGCAGAGCAGGCUGAACUUGGGAUAGUUGGAGCCAGAAUCUACAGACAUCUACGCACCUCCACAAGAUUUACUGCCUGCUAGUUUUGAAGGAUGGGUGAUCCCUGGAAACCGCAUUAUUAGUUUGGGGGAAGAGGGCAGGGUCAGUUACUUGUUCUUGUCAAAUACAUCCUCCAGUGGGGCUCUCAGUAGCCAGAUCAGCUUUUCUGCCUCAUCUAUCACACUAAAAUAACUGUACUGUGAACACUGUGAGGAUAAAUACAUCUCAGAGCAUCAAGUGUUCAUUUACUUCUAUAACAUACAGAACAGUGUGUAACUCCAGCUAUGGCUAAUAGUCAUGAGAACUGACUUCAAGAAGGAUAAAGAAGCACAAGCAAAUUCCUUAAUUUUUCACUAAUUUUGUUAUCUAAACUUCCCAGACCAUGUUUGCAGUAAUCUAAAUGGGAGAAAGGGGCAAAGGAAAUAAGGCAGAGAUUGGCCAUACAAACACUGGAAGAUUGAGACUUGUGAUGGGAAUUGGAUUACCCAUCACUACCCCAAUGCUUAUCAAGCACUUUUUCUGUUAUUGUGCUUCAUUCUAACCCCUCCCCUACAGCUAGCAUUAUUUUGUGGAUUACAGGUUAAGUACAGUUGUGUUACCACUUCAGGUAUUUUCACUCUUUGAGUUCCUUUCACUUUAUGUACUCCCAGGGAAAAGAGUCAACCUAAGCAACAGUUGGCAAAUACUGAACCAAAUUAUUUUUGGUUUCAGUAGCAUCAUAGCCCGGUUGUAUUUUUAACAGAUUCACAAAAGGUCACCGCGAUUUUUAUCUUCUUUUAGUUGUACAAACAAACAGUAGGGCUCUUUUAGCAGGGAUGCCAUUCUUGCUCUGUGCUUUCAGAGGCUUCAUGGAAGAGUAAAAUAGAAAAAAAAAGAAAAAAGUUGGUCCCCAUCCACUCAUGUAAUUUUCUUCAAAAUGUCUGAAAAAUGUAGAUUAAGCAAGCGUUUCUGUAGAUUAUUUCAGUUAUUAACUUCAGCAGCAUAAGAGAAGUUUGAGAGUUUUUUAGUGAUUGGAGAGGACGAAUUCUGGCUGCUUUCCAAUCAGAAUUUCUUUAGACUGUUUCAUGUGAAACUGUGAUCAAGGUGAGCUGUUUGUACAAGGAUGAUAAAAGAUUCUGUGCUCAGAGCUUCAGUGACUCAUCACUUUCAAGGGAUGAGAAGUUGGGAAUGCAGUAGAAAAUAACGUGCUGCCCUCAUCUGCGUGACUGAUUAAAAUCUGUAUCGCUAAUCAAGCUAGAAUACAGUUAAUGACUUUAAUUAAUUUACUGUAAUUUUUGAUGAAACUCACUGCAAUUACUUGCCCACAUGCUGCUACAUGAUAGUAAUGAUUUUCAGCAGGAAGAAGGCAGACUUUUCAGCAUGCUUCAGCUCUCCUGGCAGCACCGCUUUAAUGACUGCAAGGAAUUGCUCUAACGCAGAGCUCGCCUCAGCGGUGUGAUUAGCUCCUAUUAACACACACAAUCUCCCUUAGCCAUGAAGGCUCCUUUGUACAUAACCUACUCAACUUUGUGCCACAGCACCAGUCCUUCAGAAAGAAAAACUGUAGGCAGCCCUUGUGCCCUUUAAAUUUGAGCCCAUCAGUCAUUGCUCUGCCAGGUGAUCGCAUGACCCUCUGAGCAACCCCCUUACCAUCGCUGCUGUAACAUCUGCUGUAAAUGGUCACAUCACCACCAUCCUUCCUUCCAUCUGUGAAGCUCUUUGGAGCCUAAGUAAAGGAUACCAAUACACACAAGCAAAAGGAAACAGAUCACCCUAUUGGGUAGUAAAGAGGAGUGGCUCAAGUAUUUCCCAGAGAGCUACUUGCUUCAUGGUUUCCUGUCGUUUAAGAUGGGUGCCCACUUUCCACCAUUUAUUCCUUUGAUGCUGCUCUGUGGAGGCUGCAUGGUGCUGUGCUGAUAAGCCUGUCUUCUCUGGUGUUUAACAUCACGUGUCGCAGACAGUGCAUCUCAGAGGAACUCACAGCAAAAGCAGGCUGCAACAUUUCAUAUGGGAAAGUUAAAACAGACUU